rnacentral:rRNA from 1 species
UACGGAGGGUGCAAGCGUUAUCCGGAUUCACUGGGUUUAAAGGGCGCGUAGGUGGGUUGGUAAGUCAGUGGUGAAAUCUCCGAGCUUAACUCGGAAACUGCCAUUGAUACUAUCAAUCUUGAAUCAUCUGGAGGUAAGCGGAAUAUGUCAUGUAGCGGUGAAAUGCUUAGAUAUGACGUAGAACACCAAUUGCGAAGGCAGCUUACUAGGGGUGUAUUGACACUGAGGCACGAAAGCGUGGGGAUCAAACAGG